GAAUGACAGUGUAGGCAGACUGUUUCGAUUAUGUCAUUUGCAAUGCUUUAGGUGACUGUGAGUGUGAUUAUGUGUGGGGUUCAGAGUCCAUGAACAAUCUGAGCUCAUAAAAGGUGUACUUAGUUUGAAAAAGUUUGAGUAACCCUGCCAGAUGCUUUACCACAGCAGCAAAAGUGAAGUGCUUUUAUGGUUGUGGAUUAUCUCUGCAUUUUCCACCAUUUUCUGUUGUCAAAGUUGGUUCAAGGUGAAACGCUCAUUCGAGGCGUAACACAAUACUUGGUUUUGAAAUGAUUCACAACUCACUUGACAUCAAAGGAAUGUUCUGAAUGCAUACAUCGCUUGGCCUUCGUGAAUAUAUAUUGUUCACGUAGAACUCUCCUUCCAGAUAGUGAGUGCACUGAUGCCGUUUUCCAUCUGCAGACAAAAGCCCAUGUGUGUGCGCUGUGAAGGCAUGCAGCAUGACCUGAGGGUCCGUUUCGACGCAUGACAAAACAAGCUUGAGUGCUGCAUGAGGCACAGAAUGGGGAUCUAGCAUUUGUUCCAUGACUUCAAACUCCCUUUUCCCCUUUUCUGCAUUUUUUCCUCCUUUUAGGUACUGUUUUUUUUUUUCUUUUAUCGUCAUUUUCUUCCAGCAUUUUUGCCUGGUAUUCCUGGUCCCCCCUCUCCCAGCAUUCCUUUGUGAGUGGGUGGAAGGUUGAAUGGUCAUGUGCGAGUCCAAAUGGAGCAGAUGAAGGAAUGACUAGUACACAGUGAAUUUUGGUUUAAGGGGGAGGGCAGCUGUUCGGUCUUUCCCGGAAUGAGGGCUACCGUGUGAGGUAUCUGAGGUGGUUUGAAGGCCCUACCACGCGAAAAACGUGCCCUAGACAGCUGUCCUCUGCCGGAUCAGCUACUCUACUCAAGAGGCUGUCGUCCUUUUCUCGGGACCUAGAGGUUUUUUUAGAGGCCGAGCUGCUCUGUGGGCUGCUGGUGAGGUGGCGGGACAGGAAGAGGUGGGCGACCAGAGAAUUGCAUUUCCUUGUGCGUCUCCACUCCCUGCCCUCAGGUUAUCGAUUCAGCUCCUACUAAAACAGCACACACCCACGUGGGCUGGCGCAAUACACACACACUUGUUUGGCCGUGGACUCACACAUGAACAAGAAAUACACAUGUACGUAAUGCACUUGAUCCUCCGAGCUCUACAAAUAAAAAGCUUUUUGCGU